rnacentral:rRNA from 1 species
CCCCCCCACUUCUGAAAGGUUGACCUCGGAUCAGGUAGGAAUACCCGCUGAACUUAAGCAUAUCAAUAAGCGGAGGAAAAGAAACCAACAGGGAUUGCCCUAGUAACGGCGAGUGAAGCGGCAACAGCUCAAAUUUGAAAUCUGGCCCUCGGGUCCGAGUUGUAAUUUGUAGAGGAUGCUUUUGGUGCGGUGCCUUCCGAGUUCCCUGGAACGGGACGCCAUAGAGGGUGAGAGCCCCGUCUGGUUGGACACCAAGCCUCUGUAAAGCUCCUUCGACGAGUCGAGUAGUUUGGGAAUGCUGCUCUAAAUGGGAGGUAUAUGUCUUCUAAAGCUAAAUACCGGCCAGAGACCGAUAGCGCACAAGUAGAGUGAUCGAAAGAUGAAAAGCACUUUGAAAAGAGAGUUAAAUAGUACGUGAAAUUGUUGAAAGGGAAGCGCUUGUGACCAGACUUGGGCUUGGUUAAUCAUCCAGGGUUCUCCCUGGUGCACUUGGCCGGCCCAGGCCAGCAUCAGUUUGCCGCGGGGGAUAAAGGCGUCGGGAAUGUGGCUCCCUCGGGAGUGUUAUAGCCCGGCGUGCAAUACCCUGCGGCGGACUGAGGUUCGCGCAUCUGCAAGGAUGCUGGCGUAAUGGUCAUCAGCGACCCGUCUUGAAACACGGACCAAGGAGUCGUCUUCGUAUGCGAGUGUUCGGGUGUCAAACCCCUACGCGUAAUGAAAGUGAACGCAGGUGAGAGCUUCGGCGCAUCAUCGACCGAUCCUGAUGUUCUCGGAUGGAUUUGAGUAAGAGCAUACGGGGCCGGACCCGAAAGAAGGUGAACUAUGCCUGUAUAGGGUGAAGCCAGAGGAAACUCUGGUGGAGGCUCGCAGCGGUUCUGACGUGCAAAUCGAUCGUCAAAUAUGGGCAUGGGGGCGAAAGACUAAUCGAACCUUCUAGUAGCUGGUUUCC